rnacentral:rRNA from 1 species
UACAGAGGGUGCGAGCGUUGUUCGGAAUUAUUGGGCGUAAAGCGCAUGUAGGCGGCUUGUUAAGUCACGUGUGAAAGCCCCAGGCUCAACCUGGGAAGUGCGCGUGAAAACCGGCGAGCUUGAAUCCUGGAGAGGGUGGCGGAAUUCCCGGUGUAGAGGUGAAAUUCGUAAGAUAUCAGGAGGAACACCAGCGGCGAAGGCGGCGCGUCUGGGCCGGAACUGACGCUGAGGAGCGAAAGCGUGGGUAGCAAACAGG